rnacentral:lncRNA from 1 species
UAAACGAGCCAAAUUAAUUUUAGUGAAAGUGUUGGGUACCACCUUAAAGUAUUAAAACAAGAUUUGGAACAAAGAAUAACUAUAGAACAUUGACAUUUUAAUUACACAGACUGAGGAGGACUUUUAGUUACAAUCAAUUCCUAUGACCUUUAGAUGAAGAUCUAGAACAACAGCAUUACAUGUUGUUUGGAGUUUGUUAAGUGUGUUUUUCAUGGUUUAUUUAUGUUUUAACUGUUAAGUUUUCUGAUUUGAAUUGUUUUACAUUUGUCAUUCAGGGUCCUCUUAUAGCAGACUAUGCAAUAUAGGCUUUGCUCAUUGUUGAAGGCCAUACAUGGUGACCUAUAGUUGUUAAAUUCUGUCAUUUAGUCCCUUGUGAAGAAUUGUCUCAUUGGCAAUCAUACCACAUCUUUUUUAUAUCAUCUACAAGUAUCACAUAAACUUAAACAGUGAUUCUUGUAAAUAAGGUCAGAUUAACCAAGAUUAGUUGUCAAAGUUAUGCCAGGAAGAAUAUGUAUGAUAAUGACAUUGAUGAGUCGAGGAGAAUAUGUACAUGUUGGUCAAACAACAUUACUAUCAAUUUGUAUUGUGUCAAAGAGUAUCUGUGUUAAACAGUGUUGUAUGUAAAUUCUAUUUCCAAAGAGUAUCUGUGUUAUUCAGUGUUGUAUGGCAAUUUUAUUUCCAAAGAGUAUCUAAAUCAAAUAUUUCUACUGUGUCAGAGUAAUAGGUCACUUAAGUUCAAAAGAUUAUCUAGGUCAAAUAUUUUUACUGUGUCAGAGUAAUAGGUCACUUAAGUUCCAAAGAUUAUCUAGGUCAAAUAUUUUUACUGUGUCAGAGUAAUAGGUCACUUAAGUUCCAAAGAGUAUCUAGGUCAAAUAUUUCUACUGUGUCAGAGUAAUAGGUCACUUAAGUUUCAAAGAGUAUCUAGAUCAAAUAUUUCUGCUGUGUCAGAGUAAUAGUUCACUUAAGUUUCAAAGAGUAUCUAGGUCAAAUGGUGAUACUGUAUCACACAGCGUUGUUUGUCAUUUCAAUGUCAUGGGGAAAAGUGUAUGUAAAACAUUUUUAGGGAGACGGUAUGUGCAAGUUGUCAUUUGUUAUAUAUGUAUUGAAUAUAAGGUGAAAUUCAAUGCUGUGACAAAGACAACAUGUAUGUCAGAUGUCACAACUUGUUCUUCUAGGUUAUGUAUCAAAUGUAUGACAUUAAGCAUGUAUUUGUGAGGUGUUUCUUUGUCAUAACGUGUGAACAAUUCCAGGAUAGCAUACAUAUAAACAAAAGCUCUAUAAUCCUGUCAGUAUGGUAUAUUCCAGGGCCGUAACUAGCCUCUUUUAAUAAUGAGGCAAAAUAUAUUCGCCGAGCGUAGAGAGGCGAAAAAAAAAUUUGGGCGAAGUGUCUGGGGGCCGCUCAAGGCCCCCAAAAGCUUUGAGUAAAAUAACGCAAAAUCGUGCAUUCUGAGCGUUCCACACUCUUUCUUACAUUGAAACGCAAAUAAUCUUUAGCUAUUUUUUCGACAAUAUUCUGGUCUCAAUGCAAAAACAUAGAUUCAUUAUAAUUUAAGACUUUUAGGUUUUAGGGGCAAUAUUAAAGACCGAUAUGUAGGAUAAAGUAAAAUUCGUAUUUCUCAUAAUCAUUAAUACCGGGUCUGUCUGUCUGCUCUUGUCUUGUAUUGUGCUGACUUUGAUGAUUUUUUUUUAUGACUAGAUUUAAAUAUAGUGACAGUGCAGUAUUAUACUUUAAGUACUAGUACUGCUUAAUUCGACACUAGGGACCAUCUUGACCUUCUUUUACAGUAUUAAUGAUUCUUUUAUUUUUGAGUACCCUCCAGCAACUAUCAAGAUGAAGAACAGGAAUAAAAAUUUUGACCAUUGAUCAUUUGUAUUUUUUCUAUGCAUUGACUUUGUGUGCGAUAAGUUCCCGCGUAUGUUUACCCCAUAUUCCUUUAUUUUCUGUCUGAACAUGACUUAAUGCAAGUUUAACCCUUCAAUGUAAAAGGUCAUAUGGCAAUACAUUGUUGUUGUUUUUUUCAAAUGAUUUGGUACCGGGAAAUCGGUGGUCUUACUUAAUUUAAACCAUGUCAGCUAUGUAGUUUUGUCCACAGGCGCUUGGGUAUAUGAUACAUAUAUAUUUUUAUUUUUUGUUGUUGUUGAUCAAAAUAGUCAAUUUUCUAUAUUUAUAAUACAUAUGUAUCACUUUUGUGCAUGUCUCAGAGAAAAUACCCAAUUUUACAAUCCAUACUAAGAAAAAUUUGGGUAUUUUCUCUGAGUCGUUUAGAUCACUCGGAACUAGGUGAGACAUGCACAAAAGUGAUAUAUAUGCAUUAUUAAUAUAGAAAAUUGAAUAUCUUAAUCAACGAGAAAAAAAUAUAUCUGUAUCAUAUGCCCAAGGCCUGUGGGUUUAAUAUACAAAAAAGGCAGUUUUGUAUUCUUUGAUAUUAAGUUCAAUUAUCGAUGCAGAAAAGACAUUUUUUUUCUGUGUCCAGUAGCAUCGUAGAGCAUAUUCUUAAAAUAUUUUCCCGCACAAUAUCUGGACAUUGGUGGACAUGCAACAUUGCGCACGUUUAGAAAUGAAAAUCAACACUCAGACUAUAGUCAUAAAGUAGGAAAAUAAAAGAACAAAAGACCGUGAAACCCGAGACACAGAAGUACAAACAAUAGACCAUCAACUCCGAAAACCAAAAGUAAAAUAGAAACAUGGAUCACGAAAAAAAUGCAGGGGCGACAUCAGGGAGUGAAGAGAACUUGCUUCUUGCACGACACUUUCCGUGAAAACAAUUUGAUAUGAAGACAAUCUUUUUUUUCAGUCUUUUUUUUUUUUUUUUUUUUAAAUUUCCAUCAUGAGGCAUUUGCCUCAUUUGCCUCAAUGUAGUUACGGCCCUGUAUUCAUGUUAGACCUCAUUCGUGAGUCAAAACUUGUAUGUCAGAGGUCAUUACUUUUGUAUAGACAAUAUGAACGUCCAAUGCUAGUUAUAUGUCAUACAAAUUUUUAUGUCAGACAUGAAAUUAGUUUCUUUUUUAGAGGGAGAAUGCAUGUCAGGCAUUAUUGCAGUGUGAAGGAGAAUUUUUAAUGUCACAAGCCAAUCCUGUGAAAAAAACAUUAAUUUAUACAUAUAAAUUAUUAGGGAUUUGUCAAUGCAUGAUAAACAUAUCAUAAACAUUGUAUAGCCA